UUGGGCGAGCCCUGGGCCCCCGACUCUCCCGGGCCGGGCGGGAGGGCGCCGAGGGGUCGCCCGAGCCGUGCGCGGCCGCCGCGCGGACCCUUUCUGUAAGCCCGCGGCGAAGAGCAGUUUUGGGAGUCACGGUGGCCGAGUGGUUAAGGCGUUGGACUCGAAAUCCAAUGGGGUUUCCCCGCACAGGCAGGACCUCUUGUAUCCAGGCUGCCCUUGACCUUGUCCUGUAGCUAAGAAUGACCUUGAACUUCUGAUCCUCCAGCCCUGCCUUUCAAGUGCUGGAGUUACAGAUUAAACUCUCUGGAGAGCCAAAGGAAGAAUUGACCAGCAGAGGGCAGUCAACAAUCGUGAAGGGAAGAAGGCCCCCCACGGUGAACAAAAUGGAGGCUGCCGAUGGAGGGGACCUUCCAGCUGGGGAGUACUUGAAGAUCCUCCUUCCACUGGAAGCUUCAGGUGUGAGACCCCACUCCAGGGUUUCUAACCUGCGUGUCCAAUAGAUACUUCAGAUUUCUCCUUGGGCAUGGUGGCACAUCCUUGUGAUCCCAGCAAAGACAAGGCUGAGGCAGGAGGAUCAUGAAUUAGAGGUCAACCUGGGCUACAUAUUGAAUUGAAGGCCAAUCUGGGCUGUAAUGAGGCCCCGUCUCAAAAAACAAUUUUAAAAGACUUAUUUUUAUUGUUAUAGCUCACCACUGUAGGCUUACUAAUUCUACUCUUUCAACCCUUCUCUACCCAUCUAUCCUUUUGACUUCAUGGUGAAUGAACUGUCCCCUCCCUGUUCUCGAAUAUAUUUACAUCCCACUCAGUGUUUUAAUUCUCAGCUCAUCUUCUCCUUUCUAUCUUCACUGAGGUUUACAGUCCUGCUCGUUCUGGCCUCCUAUGAAAUCUUCCAUGACACCUUUGUCUCGGGGUUUCUGUUGCUGGGACGAAACACCAUGACCUAAAAAAGUUGGGGAGGAAAGGGUUUAUUUGGCUUCUACUUCCUUAUCAUAGUCCAUCACUGAAGGAUGUCAGGACAGGAAAUCUAACAAGGCAGGAUCCUGGAGGCAGGAGCUGAUGUAGAGGCCAUGGGAGGUGUGCUGCUUACAGGUUUGUUCAACCUGCCUUCUCAUAGAACCCAGGGCCACCUGCCCAGGGAUGGCACCACCCACAAUGGGCUGGGCCCUUCCCCAACAAUCACUAAGAAAAUGCCUUACAGCUGGAUCUUAAUGGAUUUUUUUUUUUCUUCAAAUUGGGGUUUCUUCCUCUCAGAUGACCAUAGCCCAUGUCAAGUUGUGCUGUGGAAAAAUCUUUUGUACACUGUGAAGAUGUGUUGCUCUCAUUGGUUUAAUAAAGAGCUAAAUGGCCAAUAGCCAGGCAGGAGUAGGUAUAGGUGGGAGAGCCAGACAGAGAGAACUCCUAGAAGAAGGGUGGAGUCACCAACCAGAUGCAGAGGAAGCAGGACGUGUAGGUGAGGUAACAAGCCAUGAGCCAUGUGGCAGCAUGUAAAUUAAUAAAUAUGGGUUAGUUUAAGUUGUAAAAGCUACUUAGUAACAAGCCUAAGCUAUCGGCUAAGCAUUUAUAAUUAAUAAGUCUCUAUGUUGUUAUUUGGGAGCUGGCUGGGACAGAAAUUUCCACCUACAAAGUUGACAUAAAAUUAGUCAGCACAACCUUGAAAUUCUCCUGUUCCACUGGGUCAGUACUUCAUGAAUUCAGAACAGAUAAAACCAGGCACCUCCACUUGACAAUUCCAAAUCACUAUCUUCUUAUUUGUUAAUUUACUUAAUUAAUUUAGACAGGGUCUUACUAGGUAACCCAGGCUAGCCUAGAAUUGGCUGUGUAUCCCAGGCUAGUCAAACCUAUCAUGCUCUUUCCUCAGCCUCUUCAGUGCUGGAAUUAUAGGCAAGCUCCACCACCCCUGUGCACUUUGGUUGGUUGGUUGAGACAGAAUCUCAUUGUGUAGCCCAGAGUGUCCUGGAACUCACUUUGUAGACCACACUGGCCUCCAACUCAGAGAACCACCUACCUCUAUCUCUUGAGUACUGGAAUUAAAGGUGAGCACCACCUUGCCUGGCCUGUUUUGUUUUAUGGGGUUUCACUAUAUAGUCCAGGCUGGAUUGGAACUUGCUGUGUUGUCUAAAAUGGCCUCCAACUCCUGUCCCCUCUUGUGCUGGGGAUUGAACCUGGGACCCUGGCAUGCAACUCCACUGAGCUCCAUCUCUAGCCUGGACAUGAAUUCUCAGUCCUCUCACCCCCGCCUUCCAGGUGCCUGCAGUACAGAGGUGUAACCCUUGAAUGGCUCCAAUCUAGAGAGUGGAGAGAUGACACUUUCUCAGAAACAAGCACACAGAAAAGCGGAAUCAGGUGGACAGGGCCCUCUGAUAGGGAAGCUCAGUGUGUUUAUUAUACACAAUUGAACAGAGAGGUGGGAGGCAGGUUAUCGAAUGCAUCCGAAGUAGGUGUCAAGAUUACCAUACAGCUGAACAAGGAAGCAGGUUCAGUUAACCUCAGCAGAAGUCUCUGUAGGGGAUCAGUCUUCAGGCAGUAUCAGGGAGGAGGGAUAAAGCUAUGGUGGACGUUUUCUGCAUAGACUCAACCUCUGCACAUGGAUGAGAGGAAGGCUUUGCCAUCCCUCUGAGCCUCAUGGGGGGUUGCCACUUUUCCAUGGGUCUCGGGUUGCGGUACUUGACAUGACUGCCCGUGUCAAGGCUGCAUUCACUCAGGACAUCCUGUUCCCCACGCGGUAAGUUUUAAUGUGUGUGUAUAUGUGGUGUGUGGUGUGCAUGAGAACAUGCCUGUGGGGUGAGAAGACCAUUUCCAGGAGUCCCUCUACCGUGUGGACUCAGGAUCAAGCCGAGGUCUUCCAGCUUGGCAGCACCAUUGACUGCUGGACCAUACUACUGGCACUGGUUUUUAUUCUUAUUUUUCAAAUAAAUGUCUUUUGCCUCUAGCUUCCUACUAUCUGGAUACCUUCUGGAUUAAAAUUAUUUCUUUAAAUUUCAUAUAUGUGUACUAUAUUUACAACAUUUCCCCCCUUCUCCCACCAACCCAUCCCAUGUCACCCCCA